AUGGGGAGAGGGUUCAGAGUAGGGGUGGCGGGGGCGUUUAAGUUGUACUGGCAGUCUGCCAUCGGCAGGGCCCUCAUGGAGACACUGGACGAGAUGGUCCUUAGCCCCGAUCUUGCCAUCAGCGUCCAAGUACAGUUCGACGAGUUCAUGAGCAGUGGACAACCAGCUCAAGAGCAAGGCCUUUUUCAAGGUUAUUCAUAUAUGUUCGCGAUGGCUCCGUAUGUGGUCUAUUCUGCAAAGGCCGGAGGACAUAGACCUUUUUAUGAUGGCUUCUACUCGGCUAGAGCGUUCGGCCAGGGAGAUUUUUUACCCCCAUGGAUGGCGGUGUGA
rnacentral:rRNA from 1 species